rnacentral:rRNA from 1 species
GAAAACGAGAUGCUACGGCGUCGAAGCAGUCUAUGUCAUACUUCCAAGAAAAGCUCGCACUGUCAUAAACAAAUAAUGCCUGUACCAUAACCGACACAGGUGGGUAGGUAGAGUAUACUAAGGGGCGCGAGAUAACUCUCUCUAAGGAACUCGGCAAAAUGACUCCGUAACUUCGGGAGAAGGAGUGCCUUAUUUAUAAGGUUGCAAUAACAAGAUCCAAGCAACUGUUUAUCAAAAACACAGGUCUCCGCUAAGUCGUAAGACGAUGUAUGGGGGCUGACGCCUGCCCAGUGCCAGAAGGUUAAAGAAGUUGGUUAGCAUUCGCGAAGCUGAUAACUGAAGCCCUGGUGAACGGCGGCCGUAACUAUAACGGUCCUAAGGUAGCGAAAUUCCUUGUCGGGUAAGUUCCGACCCGCACGAAAGGUGUAAUGAUUUGGAUACUGUCUCGGAGAGGGGCUCGGUGAAAUAGACUUGUCUGUGAAGAUGCGGACUACCUGCACCAGGACAGAAAGACCCUAUGAAGCUUUACUGUAACUUGAGAUUGAAAUUAGACUUUACUUGCGCAGUAUAGGUGGGAGGCGUUGAUAAUAUUCUUGCGGGAUUAUUUGAGCCAUCAGUGAGAUACCACUCUUGUAAUGUUAGAUUACUAACUUUGUAUCAUUAUCUGGUCAAAGGACAGUUUCAGGCGGGCAGUUUGACUGGGGCGGUCGCCUCCUAAACGGUAACGGAGGCGCACAAAGGUUUCCUCUGAACGGGUAGAAAUCGUAUCUAGAGUGUAAAGGCAUAAGGAAGCUUGACUGUGAGACCUACAAGUCGAGCAGGGACGAAAGUCGGUCUUAGUGAUCUGACGGUGCUGAGUGGAAAGGCCGUCACUCAACGGAUAAAAGUUACUCUAAGGAUAACAGGCUGAUCUCCCCCAAGAGUUCACAUCGACGGGGAGGUUUGGCACCUCGAUGUCGGCUCAUCGCAUCCUGGGGCGGUAGUACGUCCCAAGGGUUGGGCUGUUCGCCCAUGAAACGGUACGCGAGCUGGGUUCAGAACGUCGUGAGACAGUUCGGUCCAUAUCCGGUGUAGGCGUUAGAAUAUUGAGAGGAGCCUUCUUUAGUACGAGAGGACCGAGAAGGACAUACCUCUGGUGUACCAGUUAUCGUGCCAACGGUAAACGCUGGGUAGCUGUGUAUGGAGUGGAUAACCGCUGAAAGCAUCUAAGUGGGAAGCCCACCUCAAGAUAAGUAUUCUCA